rnacentral:snRNA from 1 species
GGCAGUGAGGGUGAUCUAGCUGCAACAUCUGCUACCCCAUUGAUAGCCAGGGUGAUCUGGAUGACCUGGGUGACUAGACAAGUUCCCUUCUUUACUUAUUCCUCAAUGUGGGUUCUUCCUGAAGCUUCACUGUUGGCCAAAGAGGACAACCCUCCUCAGUAGAGGAGAACUGUUCGUCAAGAGUGUCCCUGUAGCUGUGUCCCUGGCUCGAACCGCCAACAAGGUCUCAAGAAAAAGCAAGUCAGGCUUCCGAGACUCUAGACACAUCCAAGUGAGGUGCUGCACAUGGCAACCUUUCU